CUGGUAAUACAUUAAUGAUUCAGCUCUAAGAUAAUUAUACAGUUUGGCCGUGUUCCCACCCAAAUGUCAUCUUGAAAUGUAGCUCUCAAAUUCCCAUGUGUCGUGGGAGGGACCCAGUGGGAGGUAAUCAAAUCAUGGGGUGGGUCUUUUCCAUGCUGUUUUCAUGAUAGUGAAUAAGUCUCACGAGAUGGUUUUGUAAAGGGGAGUUCUCCAGCACAAGUUCUCUCUUUCCUGCCGUCAUAUAAGAUGUCCUCUGCUCUUCCACCAUGAUUGUGAGGCCUCCCCAACCAUGUGGAACUCACCCCAAGAUGAGACCAUCUAGUUGCAGGAAAGCAAGCUCAGGGAUCCCACAGAUUCUGCACUAUGGAGUGGACCAGCCUUUCAACCCCCACCAUCAUCAGUCAUUGCCUCAGAGCAGUCCACAGGAAACAUAACCUUGACCCAAAUAAGAAAAAUUUUGACAAUCCCUGCUCUAGAGAGAGGAAGAAAACUCCAAGGACCUACAAGGUUUCUGAAGGUAAACUACUGAGGAACAAAACCACUAAUAAAAUUCCUGCAAGAAUAAUGUAUUUUUUGAGUUUAUCACAUGGAGUUUUUUUUUUAACCAAAGGAUAAUUGAGCCCACAAAUAAAGACAAAAUAUCCACUAAAAAUAAAUCAUGUAGAAACCAUUUUGAAAAUUAUGAAAAGAGUAUUUAACUAGCCUAAAUGUAGGUAGAACUAUAUGUCUGAUAAAAAAUAAAAAGCACAUACUUAAAGCACACAACUUGCUAAGUUGUUGAAAUUCUCAACACAAUCAAGAUUAUAUAUUCAUAUACAUAUACAAAUAAAUAUACAUAAGAUAUAUGUAACUACCUAAUAUAAAAUAGACCAGUGAUAUGUAUAGACACUUCAUCAAAGUUAAGAUGCAUAUAUAUGUAUAUUUUUAUAUAUAUAUCCAUUACUAGUCUCUAAAUAUCCUCAUGUCCUCUUGUAAUCUUCGUUUCUCCUUUUCUUGUCCUCCUCUCCAAUCUCACCCCAUUUCCAGGCAACCAGUGAUUAUCUUUGUGUUACUAUAUUUUUUUCUCAAAUUGUAUAUAAUAAAAUAAGUUAGU